UUUUAAGGCGAUUCUUCUGAUAUAGCAUGGACUCUAAGGCUUCUUCCUUUUCUGAAACAUUCUCAAGAUUUUGUACUCUUAAACUGCCACCAAGCUCAUUCAAGCCCUUCAGCUGCCACAACUCGUAUCCUUGCUUCUUUUGCACAAAAAAGGUAUGGAUGUGUUGUAGCGAAGUUAGCUUGCCUAUAUUGGGAAUUUGAUGAAUAGAUUUUUCAAUCAAGGCACGUGGGUACUCCGUGUACACCCCCAUAUGUCGUAACUUACUUAAGUUGCUAAGCUUGUCAGGCAACCUGUCCACCAUUGGGCUUAACUGAAGUAGCUGCAAGUGGUAAAGAGUACAUAAUGAUCUAGGCAAUUCAGAAAUUAACGUUCUGAUAAGGUUCAAAUACCGAAGGUGCUUCAGCCUACCAAUAGAUUCAGGCAACUUACUACUGUUGUAGAAUGACAAAUACAAUACACGUAACUUCUUCUGGUUCUGCAGCAUCUGAUCAAAAAUAUCGCUUGCAUCAUCCAUUAGUGGAUCAAUGCAGAUGAUAGUGCGUAAAUGCUGUAGCUUGUAGAUAAUUUGCUUAUGCUUUUGCAAACUCUGAACCUGAAGAGAGAGAUGUCGAACAGUGCAUGGUACUUCUCUGAUAUUAUCCUCUUCUAAUCUGAAGCAGUCUUCUACAGAGAGUGACUGUGCCAAAUCAUGAAGGAUGUCGUGCAUGAUAUAGUAUGAAUAACACUCUGUUUCAGAAACCAAUUGAAAGAAAGACCCAAAGAGCAUCUCAUUGAAAUAAUCCCUCCCGACAUCUUCCAUUGUCAUGCUACUCAAAUUACAUGAACCAACAAGCCCUUCUGCCACCCAAAGGUGAACCAACUCAUCAGGUUUAUAUUUAUGACCUUUUGGGAAUAAGCUGCAAUACAAGAAGCACCUCUGCAGACGUGGAUCUAACUUCUUGUAACUCCACAAGAGAACUGUGAAGGGCUCACUUAAAUCUCUGAGCUUUAGAGCACCUUUCCAUUCAGCAGUAUCUUUUUUUGUGCUCAACCGGGAACCAAGAACUUUUGCUGCCAAAGGACAUUGUCCAAGCCUUUUAGCAAUCUCCACUGCAGUAUGUUCCAGAUUAUUGUGCAAAAGUUCAUCUCCAAUUUUUGCUCCAGAGAAAGCAUGGUGUUUGAAGAGUGCCAAGAAAUUGGCAUCAUCCAAUUUUUCCAAAUGAACAACUUGUUGUUGAUCACAGAAAACAGCGGCCGGAAGUGUUUCACGCCGAGAAGUCACCAAAACUUUGCUUCCCAUCUGUUUAGAGACGAAUGGAUCCAGGAGCUGAAACCACUCUGUCUCGCUGUCUGAUUUUUCGAACCAAACAUCAUCCAAGACAAGUAGGAAUUUCUCUGACUUCUGCAGUAUGUCACGUAAUUUGCACUGGAGAGUAUCAAGAUUAUUAAUACAUGGGCACUCCCCAUUUGUUGCAGACUCAAUAAUCUCCCUUGUGUGACGACGGACAUCAAGCUUGCGUGAGAUGCAGACCCACAUUGUCGACGAAAGCUAGUCGGCAGUCUACCUUGGGGUAUACCCACGGUAGUAGUUUAUCGGUAGACGGUGCGCAAACUACGAACUCGAUGGUGACGCAAGACACGGACAAGCUUUUUAUCCAGGUUCGGCCGCCGAGUUGGCGUAAUACCUACGUCCUGCGUCUGGUUGUAUUGGAUUGUGUUGAGAGAUAAUCUGUCCUAGGGGGUCCCUUGCCCCUCUUUAUAUAGUCUGGAGGGCAGGGUUACAGAUCUAGAAACUAAUCCUAGUCGGUUACAAUUGCCAUGGAUAAUUCGAUAUCAAUUCCUAUUCUAACCGACUAGAAUCCUGCUUGAUCUCCACGUCUUGUUUCCUUGCGCGAAACUCGGGCUGUCGGAUCAAGCCUUGAACUCGUCUCGUAGUGGGCCAAGCUUCCUGGCUGAAGUCUAGCCGUAAGGGUAUAGGGGUUUAUACCCCCACAGCUAGUCCCCGAGCGCCAUGUAUUGUGAUGCAACACGCCGUCUUGAGCUUCUUCGACCAGCGAGGCCUGUCGUCUUCAAUGAGCGGGGAAAUCGCCCAAACAGUUGCAACGGUAUUUUGACCAACUCAAAAGACAGUUGAUCAACAUUGACAUCGAAGAAGCAGGUUGUUCGAAGAAUGCAUGGUGCUCUUAAUUAAAAAAGAUUUCUUUCCUGGUGAAGUGUGCCCACUUUACUUUUCUGAAUAGUAUAGUCUUUCAAAAAGCAAGCAUAUUCACCGCAAGGUGAAGUGUGCCCACUUAGUCCCCGAGCCUGGUAGUAGGUGACGUAGGCACGUGGUGCCAGGGUCAAAAGAAAAGUCCUCAAAGAAAUUCUGAAACUGAGAUGCAUCGCCAGAUGCAUCGUACCGAUGUAGUCCCCGAGCUUGCUGGAAGGCGAAGUAUGAGCCUUGUAGCAAGGUCUAAAAAAUUGAAUUUACCAGUCCCCGAGCAUAUCAUGCUCGUAUGCAAUUGAAUAGACUAAUCGACCAGUCCCCGAGCAUAGAACGCUCGGUGGUCGGUACAGUCUCCGAAUUCUCAAAUUGGUGGGCUGGUCGACCAGUCCCCGAGCGUAUAGUGCUCGGUGGUCGGUGCAGUCCCCAAGUUCUUAAAUUGGUGAGCUGGUCGACCAGUCCCCGAGCGUAUAGUGCUCGGUGGUCGGCACAGUCCCCGAGCACGGCGUAGGGACCGGUGGACAAGUCCCCGAGCGUGGUUGGGAACGUAAACGUGCUCGGUGGUCGGCACAGUCUUCGAGCAUAGCAUAGAGAGUAGUCGACAAGUCCCCGAGCGUGGUUGGGAACGUAAACGUGCUCGGUGGUCGGAGCAGUCCCCGGGCACGGCGUAGGGAAUAGUCGACGAGUCCCCGAGCGUAGCUUGUCGACUGGGCCAAACUCCUGAAAAAUAAAUAUAGAGAAAAUAGGUAGUACAUGAUGUAUAAAUAAACUCUAGAUAAAAAAUCAGCACUGAGAUAAGUUUUAGACUUUUUAUUAUAAAAUUAGCACGAGUAGUUAAUUCAUCCUAGAGCUUGUACCAGCUCUGGUCUAGCCAACAAUCAGCAUGAGGUGCGGAACCUAGACACGCGUGGGAUUGCCAGCCUCGCCAGAGAGCUACUGCCGACCACCCGGAACGCAGAGGGCGGAUCUCGUGCACGUGUAGGGAGGAGUCGGAGACAGUACCGGCUCUGGAAAGCUCGUGUAGGAGAAAAAACUAGUGUGGCUAAACAAAAAGUUGUUUUUGAAGGAUAAUAAAAAAUAUUAUGCCAAAAAUAAAUAAGAUAUUAGAAGUGUACUUAUCUUUGGAUGAAAGUCUGGUCGGUGACGACCAAAUUGUCUGGCCCUCGAGCUUUUGGACUUGUUAUCGUGACGGUGGUCGCGGUUGUCGUAGCGCCGUUCUUCGCGGCGAUUAUUAUUGCGACUGGUGGUCAGAGCCAGUAGGCCAAACAACUUGGUCGUUAGCCCGAGCAGAUCGAUGUCGUCGAUCUGCCUCUCUUUGUAGUAGGGAAGCAGGUGACGCAUUGUCGGCGUGGUCGGAGACGCUGCUGGUGUGGUCGAAGUCGUAGCCAGCGUGGUUGGAGCUGCAGCCGACGUCGGUGAAGAAGUGAUCGGCACAGAUUGGAUCUACGCCUCCUUCGCGGUCGUGGUGGUGAAGCUGUUGAAGCUGACGGUGAACGUGAAGCCGCCCGCCAUGGCCACGAAGUUUGGGAUGAUAGCCAUCUUGUUCGUCUAGGAGAGCUGUACGCACACCCCCUACCUGGCGCGCCACUGUCGACGAAAGCUAGUCGGCAGUCUACCUUGGGGUAUACCCACGGUAGUAGUUUAUCGGUAGACGGUGCGCAAACUACGAACUCGAUGGUGACGCAAGACACGGACAAGCUUUUUAUCCAGGUUCGGCCGCCGAGUUGGCGUAAUACCUACGUCCUGCGUCUGGUUGUAUUGGAUUGUGUUGAGAGAUAAUCUGUCCUAGGGGGUCCCUUGCCCCUCCUUAUAUAGUCUGGAGGGCAGGGUUACAGAUCUAGAAACUAAUCCUAGUCGGUUACAAUUGCCAUGGAUAAUUCGAUAUCAAUUCCUAUUCUAACCGACUAGAAUCCUGCUUGAUCUCCACGUCUUGUUUCCUUGCGCGAAACUCGGGCUGUCGGAUCAAGCCUUGAACUCGUCUCGUAGUGGGCCAAGCUUCCUGGCUGAAGUCUAGCCGUAAGGGUAUAGGGGUUUAUACCCCCACACACAUCCUGAUAUCAAAGCCUUCUUCUAUCCUCUUGUCAUUGUAGACAUACUGCACUAAGGUGGACUUCCCCAUUCCGCCGGCACCAAUAAUGGCCAAACUUGAGUACCUAGUCGAACUUGCCUCGUCAGCUGCUGUCUUGCCAAGAAGAAAAUCUACUAUACGAUCGCGAUCCUUGUCACGACCGAAAACCUUUGAUGUGGAAAGUGAUGUCACUGUGGUUGGAGGAACAAUGGUUGCUGGUACAUUUGGCCACCCUAAACCUGUAGUAUUUCCAGGUGCUAUGCUAAGAAGAUCCCGAAGCUCCUUGGCUUCUGUUAGGAUAGCUUUGAUCUCAUUCAUCUUGCUAAUUAGCCUUCUAUUCUCAGGGAGCAAGUUGCGUGCCUUGCUCUUAGCAGUAUGAAAAGGCUUCAUGAUUGUUGAUGCAAUGGAGGAUGUUUCAUCCUCUCCUAGCAGGGGAUCUUUUCCGCUCUUGGCCUUGCGCUUGAGGAGAUUGUACUCAUGCUCGUCCAGCAGGUCCUCAGCAUCAUAAAAGGCUUCUUUGAGCCGCCGAAGCCAUGCCUCGAGCUUGCCCUUAUGGGGGCUCUUCUCUGCUGCUUGAAUCACCAGAUCAAAUUGUGGCAGGACGGUGGCUUCUAGUUUUUGGAGCUCACGCACCAUGUCCACACUGAGGUAAGCUGAAGCUUCGUUAAGAAGCUUGUUGAAAAUGGGCGAUGCUGCCCACCUUAACCCAGCGAGUGCCAAGUCUGCCAUGGAAUUGGAGUGGUUUGUGCUUCUCCUUUGUGGGUGUGGACUGGAGAGAUCUUGGAUGAAUAUUUCCAGGUGAAAAGAAGAGGACAAUUGAUUGGCAAUGGCACGAAAUGAUUGUGUUUUUCUUGGAAAUGUAAAUGAUGGGAAACAAGCAAAGAGUACAAUUAAUAUCUUUUUUCCUUCCUUUUUUGGGGUUUUCUAUUUUUUCUUUCUUUUUUUUUGUCGUAGGAGUGAAAUGAAUAAGUUGAAGAUGCAGGGUGCAAGGGUCUGGUGGCGAAGAGAAAGAUUAAACAGGAAAAGAAAGAUAAAUGGAUGGACAAUGGAAACUGUUUUCUUUUUUAUGUAUGGACGAGGUGCUUCUGCAGAAGGCAAGUUACUGAUAAGGACAACAACGGAAUGAAGAAAACCUGGAAUUAAGAAGACGCAUAGAAUUAGUGAUUCUGAUUGGGAAAAUGGAAGACAAAUUGAUUAUUUUUCUUUCUCAUGUGCUACAGCACACAGAAUGAAAUAGCUACUAACAAGUUAACACAACAAACUAAGGAGAUUGGUGAUCUUACAUGGUUUUGCGGGAUGAAGUUACACCAAGUAAAAAAAAUCAAGGGCGCUGGGAGCAGAGUUGCUGGAGCUAGUGUCGACAACGAGCACGAGGUGGCCGAAGUGGUGGACGGGACUCUGGAACAAGCACUGCACUUCAAGAGAACAAACAGGCAGCCAGCCAAGAAUAAGGUAUACACGCUGGCAGCGAAGGAGGGAAAGGAAGAAGCAAGGAACAAUACCGGAAAAGCUUGGCAGUGCUGAUUCCUAGUGAUGAUCUUUUUUUUUAACAGAUUGCUGGUGAUGAUCUGUUCUGUAGUCUCACGGUGAGGACACCGAUGGUGCUGCUGGCCUUCUGCUGCUUGCUGGAAAAAGGAAGAAGCAAGGAAAUUGGAAGGUGGAGAAAGAGGAGUAGACAAGGUCUAUCGAUUGGGACUUCUCUGAAAUAGGAGUUUGUUGGGACCUGCAUUUGGUGUGAAGUACUAGUCAGCAUAAACACAGACAAAGGAAGCUUCUGGGUAGCUUCACUAGGUUUCUAUCCUUGAGAAAGGAACGGUUCAACCGUAUCCCCCCUUGCAAUAAAUGAGUGAAGGCGAACACAGAGUAGACAAGGUCUAUGAAUUCAUCAAAAACGUUAUCAGCAGUUUUGCAACUCAAACACUGCCUAAACAACUCGUAGGAAAACACAGCCCAAAUGAAAAGCAAGGCGCACAUACGGCCACCUCACCUGUAUCCAGGAAACGGUGGAAUGUGGUCACCUCUCACAUGGAAAAUCACAUAAGAUGAUUUUUUUUAUUCCAUAACCCAUAUAAGAACUGAUCAAAACACAAAAGGAUAGACAAAUUUUGACUGACCACUGACCAGUCUCUUGCACUAGUACUGCUGCUUCUUUGUGAAAGGAAUCAGCCUUGACGCCUAUGCUACUGCUCGUCGGUGCUGCUGUACUAGGGCUGUGGUGCCUGUGUCGCCUCUCCUCCCCUUCCUGAAUCCUCUGCCGUGGUCGGUUCCUGCCUUGAGCACGGCCGGCACGCCCCGCAGCUUCCGCAGUAAAAGUAAUCUCCGAGGUGGCGAGACCUAACUCCGGCAACACCGGCGACAUGGAGGGUUCAGCGUUCGGCCGUCUUGUGCGGUGCCGGCGCUGGAACACGACACAGGAGAAUGGCCGAACGGCGGACGGGGAAAUGCUGAACAGAACAGGAACGGAUAUUGCGGUAUUGGACUGGGUAAGUAACUCAUCUAUUUGGGCCGCCCCACAUCGUCUUCAUCGCUCGUUUGAAGUUAGAGCAGCAGGAACAACGGCUGCACAGUCCCCUUCUUCUGCUUGAAUAAGGCUAUUCCAACAGGAGACCCAAAUGUAAAAUCUCUACUAUAAUGGAUCAAUUAGAAUUAUAUUAGAUCCCCAAGUAAAACCUUUUCCACUGAGAGCCUUCAACCAUUGUGCACCUAGUAAAAUUAAAAUGUACACAGUAAAUUGUCUCUGUUAAAAUCAAGGGCUACAAAAUAAUUGCUCAUAGACCUCAACUCAAUCUGAUGGCCAUGAUCACUUCCAGGCUUCAACGCGACUCCCAGGCUUCAACACGCUCGCGUCCCUCGACGCACGGCCUCCACCUCCCCAAGCGUGACAGGCAGGAUUCGAUCCCUGCUACCGUUCCCGGCGGCGAGGUGGCACGGGAUCGACGGAGGAACUAGGGGCUGCGGCUGAGGGCUUGGCUCCUGCAGAGCUUCGGUGGCUGUGAAGGUCGACGACAGACCCCGGCUAGGGGCGGUAGCGGCAGCGGAGGCGCGGUCACAGCGACCCGGCCGGCGGCGGAGGAAGGCGAGACGGACACAUUGGUGGGAUUGGUUGGGUGCAGUUGCGAGGUCUCGGAGGAGCUGCUGCUCACGCUGGUGGAAAGCUAGGUAGUCUUGAGAUAGCACACUACGCGCACGGGGUGUUCGUGCAAAUGCUUGGCACGGCCUUGUCAAAUCCUUUGCUCCCCUCCGACGUUGCUGCCAUGGACUCCACGUUGGCACCUGAAAUGGCCCCGAUGCCUCCUAUUCCGCCGCCGCCGUUGUCCCGACCGCCGAGGAUCUCGUGGGGGCGUGGCAGUGAUGACCUUGGAUGAGCAGUUCCAAUCUGUUGCGGGGAUUAGGGAGAGAAGUGCAUCCAGGAGGACGAGUUCAGGCGCCUGCUUGAUAACAAGCCUGUCCCCAUCUACUACAAUGGCUUCGAGCCUUUAGAGGCAUGCACAUCGCACAGGUUUGACCUUCUGUCUUCAGCCCCUGCCUCCAGGGCAUCAUUACUACAAAAAAUGAUAAGUUUGCAUGACUGAGCUAAAGAUAGAUUUGGCUGCAUCGCCGUUCUAAUUUUUUAAUAGCAUGUAGAAAGAGACCAUCGUUUAUAAUGGCACACAAGGAAAAAGCUCAAAUAAAUUGUGUGGAGGUUCAAUGAAGCUACAAAAAAUAUAAAAGAACAUAGAGACCACAUGACAGAUCAUUUACAAAGGGAUAUCAAAUACCAGCAACAAGAACAAGAGAACGGAAGCACAUUUUUGAAUUUAGAAACACGUGAUAGCAACUGUUUAUUUUUUCUUUUUAAUUAAAAAAGAUAAAGGAAAGAAAUAUUCCAGACUCCAGUUCGCCUCACGAAAAAUAAAAACCAUAGCCACAUUUUGUAUCAUCAUAAGUUAUUUAUUAGAGACUCAUUCUAUCAUAGGAAUACAUGUAAGCAAUUAUUUAUGGGCGUUGCUAAGGUAUAACUCUUACCUAGUAAGAGGUAAGAGUUCAAAUAAAUCCGAGACGUUGAAUAUUAGAAGAAAUAAAGUAAGUAGUAAAAAGAAAAAUAAAUAACAUAUUGUUUCCGUUUAUUUACAUGUCUACAUGCAAUUUGUUUCCUUUUGAUUGCAACCAACGACUACAACUUCAUGGAAGACCAUCGGGCAAGAUGGUUUUUAGUCAAAAUUCAACUUUCCAAGACAUGCUAUUUUACGUUUCUUAUUAAUUGGGCAUGGUCACGUUACAACUUAAAAAAAUAUUACAUUACAAUCAUGUACACUAUGGAUUGAAUAAGCUUUACCUUUUUAUAAUGUCGAAAACAAAAUGAAUUUAAAUUUCUCAUCGUCACGUUCCAACAAAUUAAUUAAAUAAAUUUUACAAAAUCAUUUUGGGUUAGCUAUUAUAAAUCAUUGUGUUAUUAUAUACACAAUAAAAUAAAAUGGUUGCGCAUGUGUGAACUAUGUCCCCCCAUCGUGUGUCCAUGUCCAUGUUAUUAAAAACCUAAGAUCAUGUUAGGAAAGUAAGAUCAUGCAUGCAUAUUAUAUACAUAAUACGAAGGUAUUUUCCUUCUGAGGUAAUAUUUGACAAUUGCUAUUCAGAUCGACGGUUCAUAGUUUUUUAGAUGUACCAUAGCAAGGCCCAUUAUUCAUAAUCAAGGAAUAACAGUACAAGUGAAAUGAUAUAAAUGGAACCACCUGCGUUCCUCGCAAGUACCAACCGUGGACUGUGGAGGGUCGCCAAACAGAGAACCAAGGGGACGGCAUCACCAACAGAUCGGCUUCUGAUCGACUUCAGCUGGGUGGUGAGUCUGCAGAGACGAGGGCGCAGCGGCGUUGGGGUCACCACGAGGUGUCUGUUUAGAGCAUGGAAUGAAAUGUUUUAAAUAAAAUAUUGGAGACCUUAUUCAUUGUGCUGGAGAAUGAAUCAGUGGAACAUGCUAUACCUUCUCUCAUUUCUUUCAAGUGGCAAUAUUAAUCGAAGUGCUUCCAGCGGAUGUGUGAAAUCUGUGGCCAGCUUUCUCCAUCAGGCUCUCGGCAGUUCUUCCUCAAGUCGUCACAACCAUAUAGACUUAUGCGCUGGAGGGAGGAUGGAAGAACUGGUAAAGAUGUUAUGUUGGGGCAAUGGCGGAUAUCAAGACUCUCCAGACUUGAGAGAAAUUUUAGAUUUCCUGGCAGGAACUCCAUUUUGCAUUGCCAAAAGUACAGGUGCUUGACAGAUAAGAGAUUUGCACAUUCUCCAAAGGAAGCUGACGCCUCGUUGCAAUAACGAAGAAUAAGGUUCGGUGGGACUAUAAACCCUUCAGCCUUGAGCAUCAAGUUGAGCAGUACGAAACUACUAACGACGAGCAAUUGCUGGACACGAAACUGUGAGAUGCACUUGGUAGUAAGGUUUGGAACAUCUAUCAAACUUAGGUAUUGAAGUUGCCAGGAAGACAAGCCUUCAAGAGAGCACAGAUCGGGGAGAUGAAUUAGAUCUAAUGAUUCAAGGGAGGUCAGGUGGCCAAUCGAUAAGGACGGGGAGGUUCUGCAACACAUAAUGAUAAGAGAUUUCAGGUGUGCCAAGCCAUUAAUGAAUGAAUCAGCUGCAAGAAUGCAGCCACAUAUGUGGAGCUCUCCAGCAAGGUUGAAUGACAUAAAUUCUGCUCCACGUGCCAGAUCUAAAGAAGGGCAAUCAAUACAAUAAAAUCUGGAAAGAUAUGGAGCAGCACUUAAGCCCCCCAGUGAUCUGAGACACCAACAACCUCUUAUAGUCAACCAGUCAAGCUUGAUCAAAUGCUCAAACACCUCUUCUGAUGGAAGUGCAGAUAAUGCCAUAUUAUAUUCCAGUCUUAACCUUGUAAAUGAAGUGAGGCCACCAAGGCAAAUAGCUAAAGCUUCAUCUGCAUGAAGAAAGAACAAGACCAACAAGUCCAAAUGGUACAACCAGUGGCAGCUCCAUGGUCCUUCCAUAAAGGACUCUUAUCCUCUGCUCAUGGCAAAAAAGCCAUGCCUUGAUCAUAUUUUCUUUGUCUGAUAUUAUAUCUCCUCCUUCCUCUAGGCCACUUUCAAUAAUUUGAAGAUGUUGUGAUAUAUCAUCACCCAUCUGCGUUGUCAACUGCUUCAGGGAUGAAUAGUCCUCUACAAGUACUUCCGUAAUAUUAAAUCCUGAAUUGACCUCCCACAUUGAUGCAAGUUUAGAUGCCAGGUCCUCUGUCUUCAUUAUAUUUCCCCUCGAACCAUGCUGGUCGAGCUCAUUUUUGGAGACAAACAUAAGCAGUGGGCACGUCUGAAUUGACAAUUUUGUAAGCAUUGCUGGAAGACAAGGUAAUAUUUUCAAUUUUGGAACAUUUUCUAGCGGAUGUGUGAAAUCUGCAACGGAUUGGCAAUUUUCAAUUUUGACAAUUUUGGAAUAUUUUCCACCUGCCUCGCAAGUCCCAACUGUGGACUGUGCACAGUCACCAAACAGAGAACCGAGGGGACAGCAUCUGCAACGGAUUGGCUUCUGACUUGAACUGGGUGGCGAGUCAGUGUCGUGUUGUGCUUGUGCCAGGGUGACCUUGAGGUCGAGGUGCCUGUUUACAACAUGAAAUGUUUUUAAAAUAUAAAAUAUUGGAAACCUUAUUCAUUGUGCUGGAUAAUGAAUCAGCAGAACCUAUACCUCCUCAUUUCGUUGAAGAUCAUUCAUAGAAGUGCUUCCAGCGGAUGUGUGAAAUCUGUGGCCAGCUUUCUCCAUCAGGCUCUCGGCAGUUCUUCUUCAAGUCGUCACAACCAUAUAUAGUUAUGCGCUGGAGGGAGGAUGGCAGAACUGGUAAAGAUGUUAUGUUGGGGCAAAUGCCGAUAUCAAGACUCUCCAGACUGGAGAGAAAUUUUAGAUUUCCUGGCAGGGACUCCAUUUUGCAAUCCCAAAUGUCCAGGUGCUUGACAGAUAAGAGAUUUGCACAUUCUCCAAAUGAAGCUGACGGCUCCUUGCAAACAUGAAGACCAAGAUUUGGUGGGACUAUAAACCCUUCAGCCUUGAGCAUCUGGUUGAGCAGUACGAAACUACUAACGCUGAGCCAUUUCUGGACACGAAACUGUGAGAUGCACUUGGCAGUGAGGUUUGGAACAUCUAUCAAACUUAGGCUAUCAAGUUGCCAGGAAGACAAGCCUUCAAGAGAGCACAGAUCGGGGAGACGAAGUAGAGAUAAUGAUUCAAGGGAGGUCAGGUGGCCAAUCGAUAAGGACGGGAAGCUUCUGCAACAUGCAAUGGAAAGAGAUUUCAGGUGUGGCAAGCCAUUAAUGAACGAAUCGGCUGCCAGAAUGCAGCCACAUAUGUAGAGGUCUCCAGCAAGGUUGAAUGACAUAGAUUCUGCUGCACCUGCCAGAUCUAAAGAAGGGCAAUCAAUACAAUAAAGUCUGGAAAGAGAUGGAGCAGCAUGUGAGCCCCCCAGUGAUCUGAGACACCAACAACCUCUUACAGCCAACAAGUCAAGCUUUGUCAAAUGCUCAAACACCUCUUCUGAAGGAAGUGCAGUUAAUGCCAUAUUAUAUUCCAGCAUUAACGUUGUCAAUGAAGUGAGGCCACCAAGGCAAAUAGCUAAAGCUUCAUCUGUAAUACUGCAUGAAGAAAGAUAAAGUUCACGUAUUCCUGAUGGUAGAACCAGUGGCAGCUCCAUGGUCCUUCCAUAAAUGACUGUUAUCCUCUGCUCAUGGCAAAAAAGCCAUGCCUUGAUCAUAUUUUCUUUCUCCAAUAUUAUAUCUCCUCCUUCCUCUAGGCCACUUUCAAUAAUUUGAAGAUGUUGUGAUAUAUCAUCACCCAUCUGCGUUGUCAACUGCUUCAGGGAUGAAUAGUCCUCUGCAAGUACUUCCCUAAUAUUUGAUCCUGAAUUGACCUCCCACAUUGAUGCAAGUUUAGAUGCCAGGUCCUCUGUCUUCAUUAUAUUUUCCCUCAAAUCAUGCUGGUCGAGCUCAUUUUUGGAGACAAACAUAAGCAGUGGGCACGUCUCAAUUGACAAUUUUGUAAGCAUUGCUGGAAGACAAGAUAAAAUCUUCAAUUUUGGAACAUUUUUUAGACACAGCCUAGUGCAAUGCCGUAGGAGCUCAGUAUUAGGUGGUAGGCCUUCUAACAAAGUGCAGCAAUUAAGCUUUAAACAUUCCAAAUUUUCAAAAUAGGAUGGCUCAAGUAACCACCUUGGAUAUGUGCCAGAUUUGUAGCCUUUGAUUGUGAGGCCACUAAGUUGGGGUGACGGUCUCAGACCUUCUAGAACAUCCAGAUGUAAAGUAUCCACUGCAUCCAUUCCCUUCUCGCUACUCCAGGCAAGCCGCAACUUUUUAAGGCGAUUCUUCUUAUAGAGCAUGGACUCUAAGGCUUCUUCUUUUUCUGAAACAUUCUCAAGAUUUUCUACUUUUAAACUGCCACCAAGCUCAUUCAAGUCCUUCAGCUGCCACAACUCGUAUCCUUGCUUCUUUUGCACAGAAAAGGUAUGCAUGUGUUGUAGCGAAAUUAGCUUGCCUAUAUUGGGAAUUUGAUGAAUAGAUUUUUCCAUCAAGGCAUGUGGGUACUCCUUGUACGCCCCCAUAUGUCGCAACUUACUUAAGUUGCAAAGCUUGUCAGGCAACCUCUCCACCGUUAGGCUUAACUGAAGUAACUGCAAGUGGUAAAGAGUACAUAAUGAUCUAGGCAAUUCAGAAAUUAACGUUCUGAUAAGGUUCAAAUACCGAAGGUGCUUCAGCCUACCAAUAGAUUCAGGCAACUUACUACUGUUGUAAAAUGACAAAUACAAUACACGUAACUUCUUCUGGUUCCGCAGCAUCUGAUCAAAAAUAUCGCUUGCAUCAUCCAUUAGUGGAUCAAUGCAGAUGAUAGUGCGUAAAUUCUGUAGCUUGUAGAUAAUUUGCUUAUGCUUUUGCAAACUCUCAACCUGAAGAGAGAGAUGUCGAACAGUGCAUGGUACUUCUCUGAUAUUAUCCUCUUCUAAUCUGAAGCAGUCUUCUACAGAGAGUGACUGUGCCAAAUCAUGAAGGAUGUCGUGCAUGAUAUAGUAUGAAUAAUACUCUGUUUCAGAAACCAAUUGAAAGAAAGACCCAGAGAGCAUCUCAUUGAAAUAAUCCCUCCCGACAUCUUCUAUUGUCAUGCUACUCAAAUUACAUGAACCAACAAGCCCUUCUGCCACCCAAAGGUGAACCAACUCAUCAGGUUUAUAUUUAUGACCUUUUGGGAAUAAGCUGCAAUACAAGAAGCACCUCUGCAGACGUGGAUCUAACUUCUUGUAACUCCACAAGAGAACUGUGAAGGGCUCACUUAAAUCUCUGAGCUUUAGAGCACCUUUCCAUUCAGCAGUAUCUUUUUUUGUGCUCAACCGGGAACCAAGAACUUUUGCUGCCAAAGGACAUUGUCCAAGCCUUUUAGCAAUCUCCACUGCAGUAUGUUCCAGCUUAUUGUGCAAAAGUUGAUCUCCAAUUUUUGCUCCAGAGAAAGCAUGGUGUUUGAAGAGUGCCAAGAAAUUGGCAUCAUCCAUUUUUUCCAAAUGAACAACUUGUUGUUGAUCACAGAAAACAGCGGCCGGAAGUGUUUCACGCCGAGAAGUCACCAAAACUUUGCUUCCCAUCUGUUUAGAGACAAAUGGAUCCAGGAGCUGAAACCACUCUGUCUCGCUGUCUGAUUUUUCGAACCAAACAUCAUCCAAGACAAGUAGGAAUUUCUGUGACUUCUGCAGUAUGUCACGUAAUUUGCACUGGAGAGUAUCAAGAUUAUCAAUACAUGGGCACUCCCCAUUUGUUGCAGACUCAAUAAUCUCCCUUGUGUGACGACGGACAUCAAGCUUGCGUGAGAUGCAGACCCACAUCCUGAUAUCAAAGCCUUCUUCUAUCCUCUUGUCAUUGUAGACAUACUGCACUAAGGUGGACUUCCCCAUUCCGCCCGCACCAAUAAUGGCCAAACUGGAGUACCUAGUCGAACUUGCCUCGUCAGCUGCUGUCUUGCCAAGAAGAAAAUCUAAUAUACGAUCGCGAUCCUUGUCACGACCGAAAACCUUUGAUGUGGAAAGUGAUGUCACUGUGGUUGGAGGAACAAUGGUUGCUGGUACAGCUGGCCACCCUAAACCUGUAGUAUUUCCAGGUGCUAUGCUAAGAAGAUCCCGAAGCUCCUUGGCUUCUGUUAGGAUAGCUUUGAUCUCAUUCAUCUUGCUAAUUAGCCUUCUAUUCUCAGGGAGCAAGUUGCGUGCCUUGCUCUUAGCAGUAUGAAAAGGCUUCAUGAUUGUUGAUGCAAUGGAGGAGGUUUCAUCCUCUCCUAGCAGGGGAUCUUUUCCGCUCUUGGCCUUGCGCUUGAGGAGAUUGUACUCAUGCUCGUCCAGCAGGUCCUCAGCAUCAUAAAAGGCUUCUUUGAGCCGCCGAAGCCAUGCCUCGAGCUUGCCCUUAUGGGGGCUCUUCUCUGCUGCUUGAAUCACCAGAUCAAAUUGUGGCAGGACGGUGGCUUCUAGUUUUUGGAGCUCACGCACCAUGUCCACACUGAGGUAAGCUGAAGCUUCGUUAAGAAGCUUGUUGAAAAUGGGCGAUGCUGCCCACCUUAACCCAGCGAGUGCCAAGUCUGCCAUGGAAUUGGAGUGGUUUGUGCUUCUCCUUUGUGGGUGUGGACUGGAGAGAUCUUGGAUGAAUAUUUCCAGGUGAAAAGAAGAGGACAAUUGAUUGGCAAUGGCACGAAAUGAUUGUGUUUUUCUUGGAAAUGUAAAUGAUGGGAAACAAGCAAAGAGUACAAUUAAUAUCUUUUUUCCUUCCUUUUUUGGGGUUUUCUAUUUUUUCUUUCUUUUUUUUUGUCGUAGGAGUGAAAUGAAUAAGUUGAAGAUGCAGGGUGCAAGGGUCUGGUGGCGAAGAGAAAGAUUAAACAGGAAAAGAAAGAUGAAUGGAUGGACAAUGGAAGCUGUUUUCUUUUUUAUGUAUGGACGAGGUGCUUCUGCAGAAGGCAAGUUACUGAUAAGGACAACAACGGAAUGAAGAAAACCUGGAAUUAAGAAGACGCAUAGAAUUAGUGAUUCUGAUUGGGAAAAUGGAAGACAAAUUGAUUAUUUUUCUUUCUCAUGUGCUACAGCACACAGAAUGAAAUAGCUACUAACAAGUUAGCACAACAAACUAAGGAGAUUGGUGAUCUUACAUGGUUUUGCGGGAUGAAGUUACACCAAGUAAAAAAAAUCAAGGGCGCUGGGAGCAGAGUUGCUGGAGCCAGUGUUGACAAGGAGCACGAGGUGGCCGGAGUGGUGGACGGGACUCUGGAACAAGCACUGCACUUCAAGAGAACAAACAGGCAGUCAGCCAAGAAUAAGGUAUAUACGCUGGCAGCGAAGGAGGGAAAGGAAGAAGCAAGGAACAAUACCGGAAAAGCUUGGCAGUGCUGAUUCCUGGUGAUGAUCUUUUUAUUAAGAGAUUGCUGGUGAUGAUCUGUUCUGCAGUUUCACGGUGAGGACACCGAUGGUGCUGCUGGCCUUCUGCUGCUUGCUGGGAAAAGGAAGAAGAAAGGAAAUUGGAAGGUGGAGAAAGAGGAGUAGACAAGGUCUAUCGAUUGGGACUUCUCUGAAAUAGGAGUUUGUUGGGACCUGCAUUUGGUGUGAAGUACUAGUCAGCAUAAACACAGACAAAGGAAGCUUCUGGGUAGCUUCACUAGGUUUCUAUCCUUGAGAAAGGAACGGUUCAACCAUAUCCCCCCUUGCAAUAAAUGAAUGAAGGCGAACACAGAGUAGACAAGGUCUAUGAAUUCAUCAAAAACGUUAUCAGCAGUUUUGCAACUCAAACACUGCCUAAACAACUCGUAGGAAAACACAGCCCAAAUGAAAAGCAAGGCGCACAUACGGCCACCUCACCUGUAUCCAGGAAACGGUGGAAUGUGGUCACCUCUCACAUGGAAAAUCACAUAAGAUGAUUUUUUUUAUUCCAUAACCCAUAUAAGAACUGAUCAAAACACAAAAGGAUAGACAAAUUUUGACUGACCACUGACCAGUCUCUUGCACUAGUACUGCUGCUUCUUUGUGAAAGGAAUCAGCCUUGACGCCUAUGCUACUGCUCGUCGGUGCUGCUGUACUAGGGCUGUGGUGCCUGUGUCGCCUCUCCUCCCCUUCCUGAAUCCUCUGCCGUGGUCGGUUCCUGCCUUGAGCACGGCCGGCACGCCCCGCAGCUUCCGCAGUAAAAGUAAUCUCCGAGGUGGCGAGACCUAACUCCGGCAACACCGGCGACAUGGAGGGUUCAGCGUUCGGCCGUCUUGUGCGGUGCCGGCGCUGGAACACGACACAGGAGAAUGGCCGAACGGCGGACGGGGAAAUGCUGAACAGAACAGGAACGGAUAUUGCGGUAUUGGACUGGGUAAGUAACUCAUCUAUUUGGGCCGCCCCACAUCGUCUUCAUCGCUCGUUUGAAGUUAGAGCAGCAGGAACAACGGCUGCACAGUCCCCUUCUUCUGCUUGAAUAAGGCUAUUCCAACAGGAGACCCAAAUGUAAAAUCUCUACUAUAAUGGAUCAAUUAGAAUUAUAUUAGAUCCCCAAGUAAAACCUUUUCCACUGAGAGCCUUCAACCAUUGUGCACCUAGUAAAAUUAAAAUGUACACAGUAAAUUGUCUCUGUUAAAAUCAAGGGCUACAAAAUAAUUGCUCAUAGACCUCAACUCAAUCUGAUGGCCAUGAUCACUUCCAGGCUUCAACGCGACUCCCAGGCUUCAACACGCUCGCGUCCCUCGACGCACGGCCUCCACCUCCCCAAGCGUGACAGGCAGGAUUCGAUCCCUGCUACCGUUCCCGGCGGCGAGGUGGCACGGGAUCGACGGAGGAACUAGGGGCUGCGGCUGAGGGCUUGGCUCCUGCAGAGCUUCGGUGGCUGUGAAGGUCGACGACAGACCCCGGCUAGGGGCGGUAGCGGCAGCGGAGGCGCGGUCACAGCGACCCGGCCGGCGGCGGAGGAAGGCGAGACGGACACAUUGGUGGGAUUGGUUGGGUGCAGUUGCGAGGUCUCGGAGGAGCUGCUGCUCACGCUGGUGGAAAGCUAGGUAGUCUUGAGAUAGCACACUACGCGCACGGGGUGUUCGUGCAAAUGCUUGGCACGGCCUUGUCAAAUCCUUUGCUCCCCUCCGACGUUGCUGCCAUGGACUCCACGUUGGCACCUGAAAUGGCCCCGAUGCCUCCUAUUCCGCCGCCGCCGUUGUCCCGACCGCCGAGGAUCUCGUGGGGGCGUGGCAGUGAUGACCUUGGAUGAGCAGUUCCAAUCUGUUGCGGGGAUUAGGGAGAGAAGUGCAUCCAGGAGGACGAGUUCAGGCGCCUGCUUGAUAACAAGCCUGUCCCCAUCUACUACAAUGGCUUCGAGCCUUUAGAGGCAUGCACAUCGCACAGGUUUGACCUUCUGUCUUCAGCCCCUGCCUCCAGGGCAUCAUUACUACAAAAAAUGAUAAGUUUGCAUGACUGAGCUAAAGAUAGAUUUGGCUGCAUCGCCGUUCUAAUUUUUUAAUAGCAUGUAGAAAGAGACCAUCGUUUAUAAUGGCACACAAGGAAAAAGCUCAAAUAAAUUGUGUGGAGGUUCAAUGAAGCUACAAAAAAUAUAAAAGAACAUAGAGACCACAUGACAGAUCAUUUACAAAGGGAUAUCAAAUACCAGCAACAAGAACAAGAGAACGGAAGCACAUUUUUGAAUUUAGAAACACGUGAUAGCAACUGUUUAUUUUUUCUUUUUAAUUAAAAAAGAUAAAGGAAAGAAAUAUUCCAGACUCCAGUUCGCCUCACGAAAAAUAAAAACCAUAGCCACAUUUUGUAUCAUCAUAAGUUAUUUAUUAGAGACUCAUUCUAUCAUAGGAAUACAUGUAAGCAAUUAUUUAUGGGCGUUGCUAAGGUAUAACUCUUACCUAGUAAGAGGUAAGAGUUCAAAUAAAUCCGAGACGUUGAAUAUUAGAAGAAAUAAAGUAAGUAGUAAAAAGAAAAAUAAAUAACAUAUUGUUUCCGUUUAUUUACAUGUCUACAUGCAAUUUGUUUCCUUUUGAUUGCAACCAACGACUACAACUUCAUGGAAGACCAUCGGGCAAGAUGGUUUUUAGUCAAAAUUCAACUUUCCAAGACAUGCUAUUUUACGUUUCUUAUUAAUUGGGCAUGGUCACGUUACAACUUAAAAAAAUAUUACAUUACAAUCAUGUACACUAUGGAUUGAAUAAGCUUUACCUUUUUAUAAUGUCGAAAACAAAAUGAAUUUAAAUUUCUCAUCGUCACGUUCCAACAAAUUAAUUAAAUAAAUUUUACAAAAUCAUUUUGGGUUAGCUAUUAUAAAUCAUUGUGUUAUUAUAUACACAAUAAAAUAAAAUGGUUGCGCAUGUGUGAACUAUGUCCCCCCAUCGUGUGUCCAUGUCCAUGUUAUUAAAAACCUAAGAUCAUGUUAGGAAAGUAAGAUCAUGCAUGCAUAUUAUAUACAUAAUACGAAGGUAUUUUCCUUCUGAGGUAAUAUUUGACAAUUGCUAUUCAGAUCGACGGUUCAUAGUUUUUUAGAUGUACCAUAGCAAGGCCCAUUAUUCAUAAUCAAGGAAUAACAGUACAAGUGAAAUGAUAUAAAUGGAACCACCUGCGUUCCUCGCAAGUACCAACCGUGGACUGUGGAGGGUCGCCAAACAGAGAACCAAGGGGACGGCAUCACCAACAGAUCGGCUUCUGAUCGACUUCAGCUGGGUGGUGAGUCUGCAGAGACGAGGGCGCAGCGGCGUUGGGGUCACCACGAGGUGUCUGUUUAGAGCAUGGAAUGAAAUGUUUUAAAUAAAAUAUUGGAGACCUUAUUCAUUGUGCUGGAGAAUGAAUCAGUGGAACAUGCUAUACCUUCUCUCAUUUCUUUCAAGUGGCAAUAUUAAUCGAAGUGCUUCCAGCGGAUGUGUGAAAUCUGUGGCCAGCUUUCUCCAUCAGGCUCUCGGCAGUUCUUCCUCAAGUCGUCACAACCAUAUAGACUUAUGCGCUGGAGGGAGGAUGGAAGAACUGGUAAAGAUGUUAUGUUGGGGCAAUGGCGGAUAUCAAGACUCUCCAGACUUGAGAGAAAUUUUAGAUUUCCUGGCAGGAACUCCAUUUUGCAUUGCCAAAAGUACAGGUGCUUGACAGAUAAGAGAUUUGCACAUUCUCCAAAGGAAGCUGACGCCUCGUUGCAAUAACGAAGAAUAAGGUUCGGUGGGACUAUAAACCCUUCAGCCUUGAGCAUCAAGUUGAGCAGUACGAAACUACUAACGACGAGCAAUUGCUGGACACGAAACUGUGAGAUGCACUUGGUAGUAAGGUUUGGAACAUCUAUCAAACUUAGGUAUUGAAGUUGCCAGGAAGACAAGCCUUCAAGAGAGCACAGAUCGGGGAGAUGAAUUAGAUCUAAUGAUUCAAGGGAGGUCAGGUGGCCAAUCGAUAAGGACGGGGAGGUUCUGCAACACAUAAUGAUAAGAGAUUUCAGGUGUGCCAAGCCAUUAAUGAAUGAAUCAGCUGCAAGAAUGCAGCCACAUAUGUGGAGCUCUCCAGCAAGGUUGAAUGACAUAAAUUCUGCUCCACGUGCCAGAUCUAAAGAAGGGCAAUCAAUACAAUAAAAUCUGGAAAGAUAUGGAGCAGCACUUAAGCCCCCCAGUGAUCUGAGACACCAACAACCUCUUAUAGUCAACCAGUCAAGCUUGAUCAAAUGCUCAAACACCUCUUCUGAUGGAAGUGCAGAUAAUGCCAUAUUAUAUUCCAGUCUUAACCUUGUAAAUGAAGUGAGGCCACCAAGGCAAAUAGCUAAAGCUUCAUCUGCAUGAAGAAAGAACAAGACCAACAAGUCCAAAUGGUACAACCAGUGGCAGCUCCAUGGUCCUUCCAUAAAGGACUCUUAUCCUCUGCUCAUGGCAAAAAAGCCAUGCCUUGAUCAUAUUUUCUUUGUCUGAUAUUAUAUCUCCUCCUUCCUCUAGGCCACUUUCAAUAAUUUGAAGAUGUUGUGAUAUAUCAUCACCCAUCUGCGUUGUCAACUGCUUCAGGGAUGAAUAGUCCUCUACAAGUACUUCCGUAAUAUUAAAUCCUGAAUUGACCUCCCACAUUGAUGCAAGUUUAGAUGCCAGGUCCUCUGUCUUCAUUAUAUUUCCCCUCGAACCAUGCUGGUCGAGCUCAUUUUUGGAGACAAACAUAAGCAGUGGGCACGUCUGAAUUGACAAUUUUGUAAGCAUUGCUGGAAGACAAGGUAAUAUUUUCAAUUUUGGAACAUUUUCUAGCGGAUGUGUGAAAUCUGCAACGGAUUGGCAAUUUUCAAUUUUGACAAUUUUGGAAUAUUUUCCACCUGCCUCGCAAGUCCCAACUGUGGACUGUGCACAGUCACCAAACAGAGAACCGAGGGGACAGCAUCUGCAACGGAUUGGCUUCUGACUUGAACUGGGUGGCGAGUCAGUGUCGUGUUGUGCUUGUGCCAGGGUGACCUUGAGGUCGAGGUGCCUGUUUACAACAUGAAAUGUUUUUAAAAUAUAAAAUAUUGGAAACCUUAUUCAUUGUGCUGGAUAAUGAAUCAGCAGAACCUAUACCUCCUCAUUUCGUUGAAGAUCAUUCAUAGAAGUGCUUCCAGCGGAUGUGUGAAAUCUGUGGCCAGCUUUCUCCAUCAGGCUCUCGGCAGUUCUUCUUCAAGUCGUCACAACCAUAUAUAGUUAUGCGCUGGAGGGAGGAUGGCAGAACUGGUAAAGAUGUUAUGUUGGGGCAAAUGCCGAUAUCAAGACUCUCCAGACUGGAGAGAAAUUUUAGAUUUCCUGGCAGGGACUCCAUUUUGCAAUCCCAAAUGUCCAGGUGCUUGACAGAUAAGAGAUUUGCACAUUCUCCAAAUGAAGCUGACGGCUCCUUGCAAACAUGAAGACCAAGAUUUGGUGGGACUAUAAACCCUUCAGCCUUGAGCAUCUGGUUGAGCAGUACGAAACUACUAACGCUGAGCCAUUUCUGGACACGAAACUGUGAGAUGCACUUGGCAGUGAGGUUUGGAACAUCUAUCAAACUUAGGCUAUCAAGUUGCCAGGAAGACAAGCCUUCAAGAGAGCACAGAUCGGGGAGACGAAGUAGAGAUAAUGAUUCAAGGGAGGUCAGGUGGCCAAUCGAUAAGGACGGGAAGCUUCUGCAACAUGCAAUGGAAAGAGAUUUCAGGUGUGGCAAGCCAUUAAUGAACGAAUCGGCUGCCAGAAUGCAGCCACAUAUGUAGAGGUCUCCAGCAAGGUUGAAUGACAUAGAUUCUGCUGCACCUGCCAGAUCUAAAGAAGGGCAAUCAAUACAAUAAAGUCUGGAAAGAGAUGGAGCAGCAUGUGAGCCCCCCAGUGAUCUGAGACACCAACAACCUCUUACAGCCAACAAGUCAAGCUUUGUCAAAUGCUCAAACACCUCUUCUGAAGGAAGUGCAGUUAAUGCCAUAUUAUAUUCCAGCAUUAACGUUGUCAAUGAAGUGAGGCCACCAAGGCAAAUAGCUAAAGCUUCAUCUGUAAUACUGCAUGAAGAAAGAUAAAGUUCACGUAUUCCUGAUGGUAGAACCAGUGGCAGCUCCAUGGUCCUUCCAUAAAUGACUGUUAUCCUCUGCUCAUGGCAAAAAAGCCAUGCCUUGAUCAUAUUUUCUUUCUCCAAUAUUAUAUCUCCUCCUUCCUCUAGGCCACUUUCAAUAAUUUGAAGAUGUUGUGAUAUAUCAUCACCCAUCUGCGUUGUCAACUGCUUCAGGGAUGAAUAGUCCUCUGCAAGUACUUCCCUAAUAUUUGAUCCUGAAUUGACCUCCCACAUUGAUGCAAGUUUAGAUGCCAGGUCCUCUGUCUUCAUUAUAUUUUCCCUCAAAUCAUGCUGGUCGAGCUCAUUUUUGGAGACAAACAUAAGCAGUGGGCACGUCUCAAUUGACAAUUUUGUAAGCAUUGCUGGAAGACAAGAUAAAAUCUUCAAUUUUGGAACAUUUUUUAGACACAGCCUAGUGCAAUGCCGUAGGAGCUCAGUAUUAGGUGGUAGGCCUUCUAACAAAGUGCAGCAAUUAAGCUUUAAACAUUCCAAAUUUUCAAAAUAGGAUGGCUCAAGUAACCACCUUGGAUAUGUGCCAGAUUUGUAGCCUUUGAUUGUGAGGCCACUAAGUUGGGGUGACGGUCUCAGACCUUCUAGAACAUCCAGAUGUAAAGUAUCCACUGCAUCCAUUCCCUUCUCGCUACUCCAGGCAAGCCGCAACUUUUUAAGGCGAUUCUUCUUAUAGAGCAUGGACUCUAAGGCUUCUUCUUUUUCUGAAACAUUCUCAAGAUUUUCUACUUUUAAACUGCCACCAAGCUCAUUCAAGUCCUUCAGCUGCCACAACUCGUAUCCUUGCUUCUUUUGCACAGAAAAGGUAUGCAUGUGUUGUAGCGAAAUUAGCUUGCCUAUAUUGGGAAUUUGAUGAAUAGAUUUUUCCAUCAAGGCAUGUGGGUACUCCUUGUACGCCCCCAUAUGUCGCAACUUACUUAAGUUGCAAAGCUUGUCAGGCAACCUCUCCACCGUUAGGCUUAACUGAAGUAACUGCAAGUGGUAAAGAGUACAUAAUGAUCUAGGCAAUUCAGAAAUUAACGUUCUGAUAAGGUUCAAAUACCGAAGGUGCUUCAGCCUACCAAUAGAUUCAGGCAACUUACUACUGUUGUAAAAUGACAAAUACAAUACACGUAACUUCUUCUGGUUCCGCAGCAUCUGAUCAAAAAUAUCGCUUGCAUCAUCCAUUAGUGGAUCAAUGCAGAUGAUAGUGCGUAAAUUCUGUAGCUUGUAGAUAAUUUGCUUAUGCUUUUGCAAACUCUCAACCUGAAGAGAGAGAUGUCGAACAGUGCAUGGUACUUCUCUGAUAUUAUCCUCUUCUAAUCUGAAGCAGUCUUCUACAGAGAGUGACUGUGCCAAAUCAUGAAGGAUGUCGUGCAUGAUAUAGUAUGAAUAAUACUCUGUUUCAGAAACCAAUUGAAAGAAAGACCCAGAGAGCAUCUCAUUGAAAUAAUCCCUCCCGACAUCUUCUAUUGUCAUGCUACUCAAAUUACAUGAACCAACAAGCCCUUCUGCCACCCAAAGGUGAACCAACUCAUCAGGUUUAUAUUUAUGACCUUUUGGGAAUAAGCUGCAAUACAAGAAGCACCUCUGCAGACGUGGAUCUAACUUCUUGUAACUCCACAAGAGAACUGUGAAGGGCUCACUUAAAUCUCUGAGCUUUAGAGCACCUUUCCAUUCAGCAGUAUCUUUUUUUGUGCUCAACCGGGAACCAAGAACUUUUGCUGCCAAAGGACAUUGUCCAAGCCUUUUAGCAAUCUCCACUGCAGUAUGUUCCAGCUUAUUGUGCAAAAGUUGAUCUCCAAUUUUUGCUCCAGAGAAAGCAUGGUGUUUGAAGAGUGCCAAGAAAUUGGCAUCAUCCAUUUUUUCCAAAUGAACAACUUGUUGUUGAUCACAGAAAACAGCGGCCGGAAGUGUUUCACGCCGAGAAGUCACCAAAACUUUGCUUCCCAUCUGUUUAGAGACAAAUGGAUCCAGGAGCUGAAACCACUCUGUCUCGCUGUCUGAUUUUUCGAACCAAACAUCAUCCAAGACAAGUAGGAAUUUCUGUGACUUCUGCAGUAUGUCACGUAAUUUGCACUGGAGAGUAUCAAGAUUAUCAAUACAUGGGCACUCCCCAUUUGUUGCAGACUCAAUAAUCUCCCUUGUGUGACGACGGACAUCAAGCUUGCGUGAGAUGCAGACCCACAUCCUGAUAUCAAAGCCUUCUUCUAUCCUCUUGUCAUUGUAGACAUACUGCACUAAGGUGGACUUCCCCAUUCCGCCCGCACCAAUAAUGGCCAAACUGGAGUACCUAGUCGAACUUGCCUCGUCAGCUGCUGUCUUGCCAAGAAGAAAAUCUAAUAUACGAUCGCGAUCCUUGUCACGACCGAAAACCUUUGAUGUGGAAAGUGAUGUCACUGUGGUUGGAGGAACAAUGGUUGCUGGUACAGCUGGCCACCCUAAACCUGUAGUAUUUCCAGGUGCUAUGCUAAGAAGAUCCCGAAGCUCCUUGGCUUCUGUUAGGAUAGCUUUGAUCUCAUUCAUCUUGCUAAUUAGCCUUCUAUUCUCAGGGAGCAAGUUGCGUGCCUUGCUCUUAGCAGUAUGAAAAGGCUUCAUGAUUGUUGAUGCAAUGGAGGAGGUUUCAUCCUCUCCUAGCAGGGGAUCUUUUCCGCUCUUGGCCUUGCGCUUGAGGAGAUUGUACUCAUGCUCGUCCAGCAGGUCCUCAGCAUCAUAAAAGGCUUCUUUGAGCCGCCGAAGCCAUGCCUCGAGCUUGCCCUUAUGGGGGCUCUUCUCUGCUGCUUGAAUCACCAGAUCAAAUUGUGGCAGGACGGUGGCUUCUAGUUUUUGGAGCUCACGCACCAUGUCCACACUGAGGUAAGCUGAAGCUUCGUUAAGAAGCUUGUUGAAAAUGGGCGAUGCUGCCCACCUUAACCCAGCGAGUGCCAAGUCUGCCAUGGAAUUGGAGUGGUUUGUGCUUCUCCUUUGUGGGUGUGGACUGGAGAGAUCUUGGAUGAAUAUUUCCAGGUGAAAAGAAGAGGACAAUUGAUUGGCAAUGGCACGAAAUGAUUGUGUUUUUCUUGGAAAUGUAAAUGAUGGGAAACAAGCAAAGAGUACAAUUAAUAUCUUUUUUCCUUCCUUUUUUGGGGUUUUCUAUUUUUUCUUUCUUUUUUUUUGUCGUAGGAGUGAAAUGAAUAAGUUGAAGAUGCAGGGUGCAAGGGUCUGGUGGCGAAGAGAAAGAUUAAACAGGAAAAGAAAGAUGAAUGGAUGGACAAUGGAAGCUGUUUUCUUUUUUAUGUAUGGACGAGGUGCUUCUGCAGAAGGCAAGUUACUGAUAAGGACAACAACGGAAUGAAGAAAACCUGGAAUUAAGAAGACGCAUAGAAUUAGUGAUUCUGAUUGGGAAAAUGGAAGACAAAUUGAUUAUUUUUCUUUCUCAUGUGCUACAGCACACAGAAUGAAAUAGCUACUAACAAGUUAGCACAACAAACUAAGGAGAUUGGUGAUCUUACAUGGUUUUGCGGGAUGAAGUUACACCAAGUAAAAAAAAUCAAGGGCGCUGGGAGCAGAGUUGCUGGAGCCAGUGUUGACAAGGAGCACGAGGUGGCCGGAGUGGUGGACGGGACUCUGGAACAAGCACUGCACUUCAAGAGAACAAACAGGCAGUCAGCCAAGAAUAAGGUAUAUACGCUGGCAGCGAAGGAGGGAAAGGAAGAAGCAAGGAACAAUACCGGAAAAGCUUGGCAGUGCUGAUUCCUGGUGAUGAUCUUUUUAUUAAGAGAUUGCUGGUGAUGAUCUGUUCUGCAGUUUCACGGUGAGGACACCGAUGGUGCUGCUGGCCUUCUGCUGCUUGCUGGGAAAAGGAAGAAGAAAGGAAAUUGGAAGGUGGAGAAAGAGGAGUAGACAAGGUCUAUCGAUUGGGACUUCUCUGAAAUAGGAGUUUGUUGGGACCUGCAUUUGGUGUGAAGUACUAGUCAGCAUAAACACAGACAAAGGAAGCUUCUGGGUAGCUUCACUAGGUUUCUAUCCUUGAGAAAGGAACGGUUCAACCAUAUCCCCCCUUGCAAUAAAUGAAUGAAGGCGAACACAGAGUAGACAAGGUCUAUGAAUUCAUCAAAAACGUCAUCAGCAGUUUUGCAACUCAAACACUACCUAAACAACUCGUUGGAAAACAUAGCCCAAACGAAAAGCAAGGCGCACAUACGGCCACCUCACCUGUAUCCAGGAAAGGGUGGAAUGUGGUCACCUCUCACAUGGAAAAUCACAUAAGAUGAUUUUUUUUUUUAUUCCAUAACCCAUAUAAGAACUGAUCAAAACACAAAAGGAUAGAAAAAUUUUGACUGACCACUGACAGUGUCUUGCACUAGUACUGCUGCUUCUUUGUGAAAGGAAUCAGCCUUGACGCCUAUGCUACUGCUCGUCGGUGCUGCUGUACUAGGGGCUGUGGUGCCUGUGUCGCCUCUCCUCCCCUUCCUCUGCCGUGUGGUCGGUUCCUCCCUUGAGCACGGCCGGCGCGCGCCGCAGCUGCCGCAGUAAAAGUAAUCUCCGAGGCGGCGAGACCUGACUCCGGCAACCCCGGCAACAUGGAGGGUUCAGCGUUCAGCCGUCUUGUGCGGCGCCGGUGCUGGAACACAACACAAGAGAAUGGCCGAACGGGGGACGGGGAAAUGCUGAACAGAACAGGAACGGAUAUUGCGGUUUUGGACUCGGUAACUAACUGUCUUCAUCGCUCGUUUGAAGCAGAGCAGCAGGAACAAUGGCUGCGCAGUCCCCUUCUUCUGCUUGAAUAAGGCUAUUCCAACAGGAGACCCAAAUGUAAAAUCUCUACUAUAAUGGAUCAAUUAGAAUUAUAUUAGAUCCCCAAGUAAAACCUUUUCCACUGAGAGCCUUCAACCAUUGUGCACCUAGUAAAAUUAAAAUGUACACAGUAAAUUAUCUCUGUUAAAAUCAAGGGCUACAAAAUAAUUGCUCAUAGACCUCAACUCAAUCUGAUGGCCAUGAUCACUUCCAGGCUUCAACGCGACUCCCAGGCUUCAACACGCUCGCGUCCCUCGACGCAUGGCCUCCACCUCCCCAAGCGCGACUCUCAGGCUUCAACACGCUCGCGUCCCUCGACGCAUGGCCUCCACCUCCCAAAGCGUGACAGGCAGGAUUCGAUCCCUGCUACCACGAAAAAAAGAAAAACUAAAAAAUAGCGUAGCAGCAUGCACGGGAGGAGGCGCACCCGCCGUUCCCGGCGGCGAGGUGGCACGGGAUCGACGGAGAAACUAGGGGCUGCGGCUGAGGGCUUGGCUCCUGCAGAGCUUCGGUGGCUGCGCAGGUCGACGACAGACCCCGGCCAGGGGCGGUAGCGGCGGCAGCGGCGGAGGCGCGGUCACGGCGACCCAGCCAGCGGCGGAGGAAGGCGAGGCAGACACAUUGGUGGGAUUGGUUGGGUGCGGUCGCGAGGUCUCGGAGGAGCUGCUGCGCAUGCUGGUGGAAAGCUAGGUAGUCUUGAGAUAGCGCACUACGCGCACGAGGUGUUCGUGCAAAUGCUUGGCACGGCCUUGUCAAAUCCUUUGCUCCCCUCCGACGUUGCUGCCAUGGACUCCACGCUAGCACCUGAAAUGGCCCCCGAUGCCUCCUAUUCCGCCGCCACCGCUGUCCCGACCGCCGAGGAUCUCGUGGGGGCGUGGCAGUGAUGACCUUGGAUGAGCAGUUCGAUCUGCUGCAGGGAUUAGGGAGAGAAGUGCAUCCAGGAGGACGAGUUCAGGCGCCUGCUUGAUAACAAGCCUGUCCCCAUCUACUACGAUGGCUUCGAGCCUUUAGAGGCAUGCACAUCGCACAGGUUUGACCUUCUGUCUUCAGCCCCUGCCUCCAGGGCAUCAUUAGUAGAAAAAAUGAUAAGUUUGCAUGAUUCAGCUAAAGAUAGAUUUGGCUGCAUCGCCAUUCUAAUUUUGUAAUAGCAUGUAGAAAGAGACCAUCAUUUAUAAUGGCACAUAAGGAAAAGACUUAAAUAAAUUGUGUGAAGGUUUUAAUAGCAUGUAGAAAGGGACCAUCAUUUAUAAUGGCACACAAGGAAAAAGCUCAAAUCAAUUGUGUGGAGGUUCAAUGAAGCUACAAAAAUAUAAAAGAACAUAGAGACCACAUGACAAGCAUUUACAGAGGGAUAUCAAAUACCAGCAACAAGAACAAGAGAACGGAAGCACAUUUUUUAAUUUAGAAACACGUGACAGCAAUUGUUUAUUUUUUUCUUUUUAAUUAAAAAAGAUAAAGGAACGAAAUAUUCCAGACUCCAGUUCGCUUCACGAAAAAUGAAAACCAUAGCCACAGUUUAUAUCAUCAUAGGUUAUUUAUUAGAGACUCAUUCUAUUAGAGGAAAUAGGAAUACAUGUAAGCAAUUAAUUAUGGGCGUUGCUAAGGUAUAACUCUUACCUAGUAAGAGGUAAGAGUUCAAAUAAAUCCGAGCCAUUGAAUAUUAGAAGAAAUAAAGUAAGUAGUAAAAAGGAAAAUAAAUAACAUAUUGUUUCCGUUUAUUUACAUGUGUACAUGCAAUUUGUUUCCUUUUAGUUGCAACCAACGACUACAACUUCAUGGAAGACCAUCGGGCAAGAGAUGGUUUAGAGUCAAAAUUCAACUUUCCAAGACAUGCUAUUUACGUUUCUUAUUAAUUGCGCAUGGUCACAUUACAACUAAAAAAAUGUUACAUCACAAUCACCUACACUAUGGAUUGAAUAAGCUUUACUUUUUUAUAAUGUCGAAAACGAAAUGAAUUUAAAUUUCUCGUUCAUUCGUCACGUUCCAACAAAUUAAUUAAAUAAAUUUUACAAAAUCAUUUUGGGUUACAUAUUAUAAAUCAUUGUGUUAUUAUAUAUACAAUAAAAUAAAAUGGUUGCACACGUGUGAACUAUGUCACCCCAUAGUGUGUCCAUGUCCAUGUUAUUAAAAACUUAAGAUCAUGUUAGGAAAGUUAGAUCAUGCAUGCAUAUUAUAUACAUAAUACGAAGGUAUUUUCCUUAUAUAUCUUAUUACCUCUUGCAAGGUAAUAUUUGACAAUUGCUACUCAGAUCGACGAUUCACAGUUAUUUAGGUGUACCAUAGCAAGACCCAUUAUUCAUAAUCAAGGAAUAACAGUACAAGUGAAAUGAUAUAAAUGGAACCACCUUCGUUCCUCGCAAGUACCAACCGUGGACUGUGGAGGGUCGCCAAACAGAGAACCAAGGGUACGGCAUCACCAACAGAUCGGCUUCUGAUCGACUUCAGCUGGGUGGUGAGUCUGCAGAGACGGGGGCGCUGCGGCAUUGGGGUCACCACGAGGUGUCUGUUUAGAACAUGAAAUGAAAUGUUUUAAAUAAAAUAUUCGAAACCUUAUUCAUUGUGCUGGAGAAUGAAUCAGUGAAACCUAUACCUUCUCUCAUUUCUUUCAAGCGGCGAUAUUAAACGAAGUGCUUCCAGCGGAUGUGUGAAAUCUGUGGCCAGCUUUCUCCAUCAGGCUCUCGGCAGUUCUUCUUCAAGUCGUCACAACCAUAUAUAGUUAUGCGCUGGAGGGAGGAUGGCAGAACUGGUAAAGAUGUUAUGUUGGGGCAAAUGCCGAUAUCAAGACUCUCCAGACUGGAGAGAAAUUUUAGAUUUCCUGGCAGGGACUCCAUUUUGCAAUCCCAAAUGUCCAGGUGCUUGACAGAUAAGAGAUUUGCACAUUCUCCAAAUGAAGCUGACGGCUCCUUGCAAUCAUGAAGAGCAAGAUUUGGUGGGACUAUAAACCCUUCAGCCUUGAGCAUCUGGUUGAGCAGUACGAAACUACUAACGCUGAGCCAUUUCUGGACACGAAACUGUGAGAUGCACUUGGCAGUGAGGUUUGGAACAUCUAUCAAACUUAGGCCAUCAAGUUGCCAGGAAGACAAGCCUUCAAGAGAGCACAGAUCGGGGAGACGAAGUAGAGAUAAUGAUUCAAGGGAGGUCAGGUGGCCAAUCGAUAAGGACGGGAAGCUUCUGCAACAUGCAAUGGAAAGAGAUUUCAGGUGUGGCAAGCCAUUAAUGAACGAAUCGGCUGCCAGAAUGCAGCCACAUAUGUAGAGGUCUCCAGCAAGGUUGAAUGACAUAGAUUCUACUGCACCUGCCAGAUCUAAAGAAGGGCAAUCAAUACAAUAAAGUCUGGAAAGAGAUGGAGCAGCAUGUGAGCCCCCCAGUGAUCUGAGACACCAACAACCUCUUACAUCCAACAAGUCAAGCUUUGUCAAAUGCUCAAACACCUCUUCUGACGGAAGUGCACUUAAUGCCAUAUUAUAUUCCAGUCUUAACGUUGUCAAUGAAGUGAGGCCACCAAGGCAAAUAGCUAAAGCUUCAUCUGUAAUACUGCAUGAAGAAAGAACAAUACUAACAAGUCCAAAUGGUAGAACCAGUGGCAGCUCCAUGGUCCUUCCAUAAAUGACUCUUAUCCUCUGCUCAUGGCAAAAAAGCCAUGCCUUGAUCAUAUUUUCUUUCUCCAAUAUUAUAUCUCCUCCUUCCUUUAGGCCACUUUCAAUAAUUUGAAGAUGUUGUGAUAUAUCAUCACCCAUCUGUGUUGUCAACUGCUUCAGUGAUGAAUAGUCCUCUAAAAGUACUCUCCUAAUAUCUGAUCCCGAAUUGACCUCCCACAUCGAUGCAAGUUUAGAUGCCAGGUCCUCCGUGUUCAUUAUAUUUUCCCUCAAAUCAUGCUGAUCGAGCUCAUUUUUGGAGACAAACAUAAGCAGUGGGCACGUCUGAAUUGACAAUUUUGUAAGCAUUGCUGGAAGACAAGGUAAUAUCUUCAAUUUUGGAACAUUUUUUAGACACAGCCUAGUGCAAUGCCGUAGGAGCUCAGUAUUAGGUGGUAGGCCUUCUAACAAAGUGCAGCCAUUAAGCUUAAAACAUUCCAAAUUUUCAAAAUAGGAUGGCUCAAGUAACCACCUUGGAUAUGUGCCAGAUUUGUAGCCUUUGAUUGUGAGGCCACUAAGUUGGGGUGACGGUCUCAGACCUUCUAGAACAUCGAGAUGUAAAGUAUCCGCUGCAUCCAUUCCCUUCUCGCUACUCCAGGCAAGCCGCAACUUUUUAAGGCGAUUCUUCUUAUAUAGCAUGGACUCUAAGGCUUCUUCCUUUUCUGAAACAUUCUCAAGAUUUUCUACUUUUAAACUGCCACCAAGCUCAUUCAAGUCCUUCAGCUGCCACAACUCGCACCCUUGCUUUUUUUGCACAGAAAAGGUAUGCAUGUGUUGUAGCGAAGUUAGCUUGCCUAUAUUGGGAAUUUGAUGAAUAGAUUUUCCAGACAAGGUAGGUACGCAAUCGAUGUAUGCCCCCAAAUGUCGUAACUUACUUAAAUUGCAAAGCUUGUCAGG
rnacentral:lncRNA from 1 species